GGAGGAUCACUGAGCGUUCCAGGGCAGCCUGAGCUACAUGCUCCUGGCUUAUGAUGUGGGAAGGGAAGGCAGAAUCUACAGACUGUGGAAGCAGGUGACUCCAGAGGGCUCCAGGGAAAAACGCAACAGCGGAAUUGAGCAGUGCUGUGCAAAACAACAGCUGGCUUGUGGGAUUAUCAGGCACGCAUCUGGGCUCUGUCUGCGGCCUUUGUCUACCAGCAAGAGCAGAAUCACGCCCUGAAUUGGACACUGCUACAAAACUGUGGAACCCAGAAGAUAACCACAGGCUUGAAAUCAUGGAGAAAAAAAAAUACGUUGUCCAUUUGG